UCCCCAGCUUGCUGGGGGGAUUAGUGGCGAACGGGUGAGUAACACGUGAGUAACCUGCCCAAGACUCUGGGAUAAGCCUGGGAAACUGGGUCUAAUACUGGAUGCCGACUUUCUGCCGCAUGGUGGGGGGUUGAAAGAUUUUAUUGGUUUUGGAUGGACUCGCGGCCUAUCAGCUUGUUGGUGGGGUAAUGGCCUACCAAGGCGACGACGGGUAGCCGGCCUGAGAGGGUGACCGGCCACACUGGGACUGAGACACGGCCCAGACUCCUACGGGAGGCAGCAGUGGGGAAUAUUGCACAAUGGGCGAAAGCCUGAUGCAGCGACGCCGCGUGAGGGAUGACGGCCUUCGGGUUGUAAACCUCUUUCAGUAGGGAACAAGGCCAGGCUUUUGUUUGGUUGAGGGUACUUGCAGAAGAAGCGCCGGCUAACUACGUGCCAGCAGCCGCGGUAAUACGUAGGGCGCAAGCGUUAUCCGGAAUUAUUGGGCGUAAAGAGCUCGUAGGCGGUUUGUCGCGUCUGCCGUGAAAGUCCGGGGCUCAACCCCGGAUCUGCGGUGGGUACGGGCAGACUAGAGUGAUGUAGGGGAGACUGGAAUUCCUGGUGUAGCGGUGAAAUGCGCAGAUAUCAGGAGGAACACCGAUGGCGAAGGCAGGUCUCUGGGCAUUAACUGACGCUGAGGAGCGAAAGCAUGGGGAGCGAACAGGAUUAGAUACCCUGGUAGUCCAUGCCGUAAACGUUGGGCACUAGGUGUGGGGGACAUUCCACGUUUUCCGCGCCGUAGCUAACGCAUUAAGUGCCCCGCCUGGGGAGUACGGCCGCAAGGCUAAAACUCAAAGGAAUUGACGGGNGGCCCGCACAAGCGGCGGAGCAUGCGGAUUAAUUCGAUGCAACGCGAAGAACCUUACCAAGGCUUGACAUGAACUGGAAACGCCCGGAAACGGGUGCCCCGCUUGCGGCCGGUUUACAGGUGGUGCAUGGUUGUCGUCAGCUCGUGUCGUGAGAUGUUGGGUUAAGUCCCGCAACGAGCGCAACCCUCGUUCCAUGUUGCCAGCGGGUUAUGCCGGGGACUCAUGGGAGACUGCCGGGGUCAACUCGGAGGAAGGUGGGGACGACGUCAAAUCAUCAUGCCCCUUAUGUCUUGGGCUUCACGCAUGCUACAAUGGCCGGUACAAUGGGUUGCGAUACUGUGAGGUGGAGCUAAUCCCAAAAAGCCGGUCUCAGUUCGGAUUGGGGUCUGCAACUCGACCCCAUGAAGUCGGAGUCGCUAGUAAUCGCAGAUCAGCAA
rnacentral:rRNA from 1 species